UGGCUCAGAACGAACGCUGGCGGCGUGCUUAACACAUGCAAGUGGAGCGACGAACCAGGCUUCGGCCUGGGGCAAAGCCGCGAACGGGUGAGUAACACGUGGGUAACGUGCCCCGAUGAUUGGGACAACCCGAGGAAACUCGGGCUAAUACCGAAUGUGCCCUCCGGCCACAAGGCCGCUGGGGAAAGGAAGCUUCGGCCUCCGCAUCGGGAUCGGCCCGCGGCCCAUUAGCUUGUUGGUGAGGUAACGGCUUACCAAGGCGACGAUGGGUAGCUGGUCUGAGAGGACGAUCAGCCACACUGGGACUGAGACACGGCCCAGACGAAUACGGGAGGCAGC
rnacentral:rRNA from 1 species